rnacentral:rRNA from 1 species
UAAACGAUGAAUACUCGCGGUUGGUUCGUUAGAGUCAGCCGCCAAGCGAAAGCGUUAAGUAUUCCACCUGGGGAGUACGCCGGCAACGGUGAAACUCAAAGGAAUUGACGGGGGCCCGCACAAGCGGAGGAACAUGUGGUUUAAUUCGAUGAUACGCGAGGAACCUUACCCGGGCUUGAACUGCCAGUGACACAUGCAGAGACGCAUGUUUCUUCGGACACUGGUGGAGGUGCUGCAUGGCUGUCGUCAG